CCUUAGUUGCUAUUCAUAAAACUCCUUAGAGACAAAAAUUCCUUAAUUUUGGCCGAUUUUUCCCUUAAAUAUUAAGGUAGCCCAUAUGCUCCCUUAUCUUUUAAGGAAAAAAGUUAAGGGAUAAAAAUGAAGAAAAAAAAAAUGGCCGAUUAGCAGACGAUUUGUUCAUUCCCUUUCUCAAAUAACAAAUCCAGCUACUAUCCAUUUUGGAAUCGACGGAGAUUUGAUCAUAAUAAUAUCCGAUGAAAAUAAUUCGUUCGUAUAUUAGCCAAACAACGCAGCUAACCGGAAAUCUCCGUUCCAGCGGAGGCAAUUUUCUGAAUAUUUUAACAUUUUAAAUGAAUGUUUUAUUGUAUGAAGAACGUAUUUUACGAAUGCAGAACUGACUUUUUAUUGUCUUAAAAAAAGAAACAGUAUGUUUCCUGGAUAGCCAAAUCCUUACAUGAUGUUGGGAACGUGCGAUAAAUCGGAGAGCUAUAAGUAUAAUAGUGUUCGGACUGAUAUUUCGGAUACGGUUUGACAUCUACAAAAGUCAACAUUAUAAUGAAUGCAAUCAAGUUAUAAUAAGAGAAUAUGGAAGAAAAUUGAAGAUUUAUAUUCAAUACACUCUUGAUGAGGUUUCAAAAAUGUUAAAAAAAACCUCCAUUUUACAAAUAUACACUCGAGAAAAAGAUGUACAAAUCAUUCACCUGCCGACCUGGAUUCAGGACUUAAUUUGCUAAAAACUUUUGCAUACUCAAGAUAUUGAAGAUUGGUUUGGAAACCCUACAGAAGGAAUAAACAACAAAACAGAAUUUUUUAUUGGCCAGUGACUAAGUAAAUGAAAUGUCAUACUCAUUAUAAAUGUGAAAUCAAUGACUUUUGUUGACAAUUUGAAAAAAAAUACAAUAUACUAACAUAUGGUAUUGAUAUCCUUGCAAUAUUGAAAAAGUGUGAUUGCAAUUACUGACAAAAGUGAUCUAUUGAAGAUCUUGAAAAGUGUAAAAACUACAAUGUAGGUGACAACAUAACUAAGUAAUAAUCUUUGGAAGUGUGAUUACUUAUUACAUCAGUGAUAAUCUUGGAAGACUCUUUAUGAUGUUUUUAUGACUUAUUGUACAUGAACUCAUUCUUCAUGAAAUAAACUUUCAUCCUGAAUUCAAUAUUUUUUGUAAAAUAAAGUUAUAAACUCUCA